ACUCGAAUAGCUUAUUAGAGCAUGACAUUGAAGAUGUUAGGGAGAUUUCUUAAAUCUUUGAGUA
rnacentral:tRNA from 1 species